UGGGGAAUUUUGGACAAUGGGGGCAACCCUGAUCCAGCAACGCCGCGUGAAUGAAGAAGGCCCUUGGGUUGUAAAGUUCUUUUAUAACUGAGAAGAAGUCCUGGUUUAAGAGAUGAGGAUGGAGAUAGUAAGUUAUGAAUAAGCACCGGCUAACUACGUGCCAGCAGCCGCGGUAAUACGUAGGGUGCGAGCGUUAAUCGGAAUUAUUGGGCGUAAAGGGUGAGUAGGCGGUUCGGUAAGUUAAUAGUGAAAGCAUUGGGCUCAACCUGAUAAGUGCUAUUAAUACUGCUGAACUAGAGUUAGUUAGAGGAUUGUGGAAUUCCAAGUGUAGUAGUGAAAUGCGUAGAUAUUUGGAGGAACCUUAAUGGCGAAGGCAGCAAUCUGGGAUGAGACUGACGCUGAAUCACGAAAGCGUGGGGAGCAAACAGG
rnacentral:rRNA from 1 species